AAAAUGGUGUUUUUCAACACCAAUACAAUAAUUUUUAGAAAGAUGG
rfam:Picea glauca, whole genome shotgun sequence.